CGCUGGCGGCAGGCUUAACACAUGCAAGUCGAACGAACACUCCGGUGUUAGUGGCAGACGGGUGAGGAACACGUGGGAACAUUCCUUUCAGUUCGGAAUAACGUUGGGAAACUAACGCUAAUACCUGAUACGUCCUUCGGGAGAAAGAUUUAUCGCUGAUUGAGCGGCCGAUAUCAGAUUAGCUAGUUGGUGAGGUAAAGGCUCACCAAGGCGACGAUCUGUAGCGGGUCUGAGAGGAUGAUCCGCCACACUGGAACUGAGACACGGUCCAGACUCCUACGGGAGGCAGCAGUGGGGAAUUUUGGACAAUGGGCGCAAGCCUGAUCCAGCCAUGCCGCGUGAGUGAAGAAGGCCUUCGGGUUGUAAAGCUCUUUCGGCCGGGAAGAAAUCGCACAGGUUAAUACCCUGUGUGGAUGACGGUACCGGAAUAAGAAGCACCGGCUAACUACGUG
rnacentral:rRNA from 1 species